GAUGAACGCUGGCGGCGUGCUUAACACAUGCAAGUCGAACGGACAGGCUCCUGCUUGCCGGGGUACUCGAGUGGCGAACGGGUGAGUAACACGUGGGUGAUCUGCCCUGCACUUCCGGAUAAGCCUGGGAAACUGGGUCUAAUACCGGCUAGGACGAUGGUUUGGAUGUUAUUGUGGAAUGUUUUUCGGUGUGGGAUGAGCUCGCGGCCUAUCAGCUUGCUGGUGGGGUAAUGGCCUACCAAGGCGUCGACGGGUAGCCGGCCUGAGAGGGUGUACGGCCACAUUGAGACUGAGAGACGGACCAGACUCCUACGGGAGGCAGUAGUGGGAAAUAUUGCAGAAUGAGCGCAAGCCUGAUGCAGAGACGCCGCGUGGGGGAUGACGUGCUUCGGGUUGUAAACUCGUGUCGCAAGGGACGAAGCAUUUUGUGACGGUACCUGAAGAGGAAGCAACGGCUAACUACGUG
rnacentral:rRNA from 1 species